CAGGAUGAACGCUGGCGGCGCGCCUAACACAUGCAAGUCGAACGGUUAAGCCCCUCGGGGUGCAUAAAGUGGCGAACGGCUGAGUAACACGUGGGCAACCUGCCCCCCGCUUCGGGAUAGCCUCGGGAAACCGUGGGUAAUACCGGAUACUCCGCCCACCCCGCAUGGGGAGGGCGGGAAAGCGCAUACGGCGGGGGAUGGGCCCGCGGCCUGUUAGCUCGUUGGCGGGGUAACGGCCCACCAAGGCUAUUAUGGGUAGCCGGGUUGAGAGACCGACCGGCCAGAUUGGGACUGAGACACGGCCCAGACUCCUACGGGAGGCAGCAGUGGGGAAUCUUGCACAAUGGGCGAAAGCCUGAUGCCAGCGACGCCGCGUGCGGGAUGAAGGCCCUCGGGUUGUAAACCGCUUUCAGCAGGGACGAGGCGCAAGUGACGGUACCUGCAGAAGAAGCCCCGGCUAACUACGUGCCAGCCGCCGC
rnacentral:rRNA from 1 species